AGAAAGGCUUGAGGCCCUGCUGCACCUGGGGUAUCUGUGCAGAGGAGCAGUCUUCACACAGUCUGACUCAUUCAUCUGCCCAGCAGCUGCCUGGGCCUAGGCGACUGCUUCGGCGACAGCGACGGCAAGGCCCUGGUGGGAAAAUACAAUAUGAGGACACUUUGAAAGCCACACAUCUGAGGUAGGACUGAAAAAAUAACCGUAGGAAACUCACUCAAAAAAAAGGAGGAGGAGGAGAGGAAGAAGG